CGUCAUUCUCCUGCGUCAGCCUCCCGAGUAGCUGGGACUGCAGGCGCCCGCCACCAUGCCUGGCUAAUUUUUUGUAUGUUUAGUAGAGACGGGGUUUCACCGUGUUAGCCAGGAUGGUCUCUAUCUCCUGACCUUGUGAUCUGCCUGCCUCGGCCUCCCGAAGUGCCGGGAUUACAAGCGUGAGCCACCAUUCCCGGCCCAAAGAGGAGAAGAAGUAUGAAGUGCUUGCUUGGACCUUUCUACUGUGCUUAUUAUUCUGUCUUCUCCUCAUGGCAACAUGUGCUGUUCUCUCUGUGGACAUGUCUCUGGCUACCUGAAGGCAUCCAGCAUGUGAAAAAACAACUCAGACCACACAUUUUCCACCUAUGUUCUUCGGGAUGUGCUGGAGAUGAUAUGUGAAGAGAAAGAGACUCAGCUUAAGACCCGACAAUUCCGCUGAGCAAUUCUGGGAAGAGAAUGAAAAACAUUUUGUUGAUGAGAAUCUGUAUUCAUCAGUUUUUGUACAAGACUAAGAACUCGGCAUGCUUUUACAUUGGAAAUUUGGUAAUUAAUAUCAGCAUCCUGAUUUUCCAUUGGGGAGUAAGUCAACCUUCCUUGGAUAGUAGCAUAGGGACCUUUAUUGUACAUAAGUAACCUGGACUUGGACAGAGUCAAUGAAUUUAUCCACGAAUGGGUAUCUGCCUUCAGUCCAGUGAAAAUCAACCAGGUACUUCUGUACAGCCCGAGGGGGAAUAUGUCCUUUUCUCUGCCUGAAGUUGCCCAUGGUCAUGUUUGUGAUUAUACGGGGUAAACUGAGAAUAAAAUAAUCACAUACAAAAGAAGAAUCAAAAAAAUGAGAUAUGAUCUUGAUAACCUAAUUUAAACUCUAAGUAAUUCUCAUAACAGGAUUUAGUGAACAUUCUAACCCUUUUCCAACAACCCAUCCUGCUACAUGCCUUUAUCAUAAAAUAGCUUCAUAUAUAAAAGCGUCAUGUUAAAGUUAGUUUUACUUUUCCACUUAUAUAGAUUUAAAUAUAUUUUAUUGAAUUAUUAAAACUUUACAAAGUUGGGGCUAAUCCUAGCUCUUGUUUAUACAAUUUUAAAA
rnacentral:lncRNA from 10 species